rnacentral:lncRNA from 1 species
AAGAAAUUCUAACCAAUUUAGAGUCUUUGUUUCUAAACUCUUACCCCUGUGGCUUUUGUACCCUUUCAGGGACUUGAGGUGUGGAAUACUUGCACAGCUGUCAGAGUAUCUUCUGCUCUCAGAUCACAGAGAUGCUUCUUUAACUUCUUAUCCCUUCCUGCAGGAGAGAGCCCUACCCUAGCCACCCUUCGUGACAUGGAGUGGAUGUAGAGUAACCGUGAAAACAGUUGUGGGCUUAAAAAUGUCCCUGCUCAGAAGCAAGUGAAAGACUAGAUACCUAACAUCUUUGUGAUCAUUUAUUUUUGAGGAGAGAAUGUAAAUUACCUGUAGACAAUAUGGUUUAUCUCAGUGAGCUCUAUCAGAACCUGAAGAAAGCGGGUGAGAGGCUAUGUAGGAGCCCAAGUCUGGACUGGGGCUGGGCCAGCUUCCUUCUUGGCCUGCUCCUCCAGGAAGCCUUCCAGAUGGUCUCCUGAGAGCAGCUCAGGGUCUCUGCUGCAACUGCACCAAAUCAAAACUCCCAUCCCAUCUCACACAUGCACAUGGCCACACAUACAUGUACAUACAUCCUUGUGCUGGAGAAUAGGAAGGGAACAAGGUGUGGAGGGUAACAGGUACAGAGCUGGCUGCAGGAAGUGGUACAUCACACACAUUUCCUAGAGGACAGGUGCAGCCAAGGCCCCAGUGCUCAGCUACCUGACAGCUUUUGAAAAUUACCAGAUCUGGGUCACCUCUCAAGUCAGCUGGGAGAAUUACCAAACCAUUUUGAGCUAUUCAGAACAACCAGAAGUGUCAACACACUUUAAAAGGGGACUUAUUAUAGUAUAAAUGGUGAGUUUGAGUUUGUAAUGUAAUAGAAUGGAUUUAACAGAAUAAAAACAAAUGACCUUUUAGGAAGCUCUCAUAGUGAGACCUGCCAGGUUGAGACCUUCGCUGUGAUUACUGGUAGGAGCUCAUGUGCCAGUCUCCUGAGGAUGGCAAG